CCUACGGGUGGCAGCAGUGGGGAAUAUUGCACAAUGGGGGAAACCCUGAUGCAGCGACGCCGCGUGAGUGAAGAAGUAUUUCGGUAUGUAAAGCUCUAUCAGCAGGGAAGAAAAAAGACGGUACCUGACUAAGAAGCCCCGGCUAACUACGUGCCAGCAGCCGGGGUAAUACGUAGGGGGCAAGCGUUAUCCGGAUUUACUGGGUGUAAAGGGAGCGUAGACGGCGCGGCAAGUCUGAAGUGAAAGGCAGGGGCUUAACCCCUGAACUGCUUUGGAAACUGCCAUGCUAGAGUGCUGGAGAGGUAAGUGGAAUUCCUAGUGUAGCGGUGAAAUGCGUAGAUAUAUGGAAGAACACCAGUGGCGAAAGCGGCUCUCUGGUCUGUAACUGACGCUGAGGUUCGAAAGCGUGGGUAGCAAACAGGAUUAGAUACCCCAGUAGUC
rnacentral:rRNA from 1 species